AAUGGCGGAUCAAUGGCGUCUCCAUCGCCCUCGUUGACAACGGACAAGCUAGCCAUUUAAUGUCUUGUGUGUCACAUCAACACAAUUCCCUGCAGAUGGGGGACAUUUGUGGCCCCACAUUUGUUUGUAUUAGUCAAGCUGGAUCUAAAUAACGUAAGACGUGUUGUGAUUGGAUAAAAAGAAGGGAGAUAAUUCGUGUUGCGACUUUUUGCCGCUUGGGGUUUACGAGAACCGGGAAUUAUGGCCGUAUUAGAACAGAGGUUCGUAGGAAGAUAUGACAAGUAACUUCUGUGGGAAGAGAAUGAUCCGUUGUGUUCUGUAUGAAAAUUAGGUUGAUAUCCAUGAAUUCUCCCCCUUAUGUGUAUCAUUUCUAAAUGCCAUUCAACGUCUUUAUGUAAUACCCAUCAAAAGUUUAGACUCACUUAAAGCACUCACUAUAUGUCAUGUAUUAUCUAUAUGGCUACAUCGAAGAUGAAUUUCUCCACUAACUUGGGGGAACCAACUGCAAACCUUAUGCAGAUGAAUUGCAGGAGGAUCACGCAUCAAAUUGCUGAAAAUUAUGUGGAAAUAUUGUGUAUACAUGUGAACAGCUGCGUUUUGGUGUAAACUUUUGUUAAGAAUUUGCCAAUUUUCUCCAAGUUUCAUCAUUUAUUGAACUUGUGACAAUAAUCUUUUCAACGUUACGAAUUUGUUUUAUAAUUCAUCAGUUCAUGUGUCAACAGUACCUUUACUAUGGAAUAUUUUGCAAAAUGUAGUUUAGAACAGUUGCCUGAAGUAAGUGGCUAUAUUUACACUACUGAGUCUAAACUUUUGAUGUGUAGUAUAUUAAACAAAACUGUAUAUAGUAGUCUCGUGGGGCAGUGGCCUAAUGAUUGCUUAUCACCAUGCUGCAUAUCUCAUCCCAUGUCCAGUAUUAACAACUGCAGACUCUCCAUGUAUUUUCUGACCACUGGACUGUUGGCACCAUGACCAGGUUUUGUGGAUUGCAUCAGAUAUCUGAGACUUGUGGGCAUGUUCCCAUGUUAAACAGACUGGCUGCAAUACAACUGAAUAUCUCUUCAAAAUGGCAUCGGAACAAAUUUUGUUUCUCACUCAUUGGCUAUUUAUGUACUUUCUCUACUAAUUCCUAUAUUGGGUAUACAUAUUUUUCUCUUAUGAAUUGUCUUUCUGCCGUACAAUUGUGUGUCUUGCUUUUGUGCUUCAGUGUAUUUAUCAUUCACAGAUCUGUACUUUGUGCACAGAAGUUCUAAACGCUGGUUCUGGACUCAAUUCCAGAGUAGGUCCAGGAGCCCUGAAGCAGCCUUAGUACUAAGGCUAUUGUUAAGGGGGCUAUGGGGUAGCCUAGAGGUUCUUAACACUAUAUCUAGGCUUUGUGGACUCAAUUCCAGAAGAGGUCCAAGACCCAUGGAGCAGUCUUAGUACUAAGGCUAUUGAUAAGUUUUAGAGGCAAAGUGAUCUUAGCCAUAAGACUGGUCAUUCUGUGUCCAUAUAUUUGACUUGUCAUUUAGUGUCCUUGUAUUUAAGGUAAGAUGAGGUUAGCACUAAGACUUGCCAUUCCAUGUUCAAGUAUGGGAGUUAUUAUGGUCUUGGUACAAAAAUGACGUUGUGCAAGCUCUCCCUUCUCAGUAUCAUGGACUUGUCGCAAAACAACCAACAACAACCCAGGAACCAACAUCAUCAUAAUCUCCA